rnacentral:lncRNA from 1 species
GGGAUUCUAGCUUCUGGAAUAUCUUUGAAUGUCAUGGACUUGUGUAACUCUUUAUACUCAGUCAAUUUAUCAGAUAUCUUCCUCUCUUUUUGUGUAUGUAGUAGUUCUAAUGAAUCAGAUUCACUAUCAGAAUAAUCUGAAGAAUCAAAAGACUGACAACCAUGUUCUUCACUGUAAUCUGAAUUACAGUCAGUAGCAG